rnacentral:rRNA from 1 species
UACGUAGGGUGCAAGCGUUGUCCGGAAUUAUUGGGCGUAAAGAGCUCGUAGGCGGUCUGUCGCGUCGGAUGUGAAAACCCAGGGCUCAACCCUGGGCCUGCAUUCGAUACGGGCAGACUAGAGUUCGGUAGGGGAGAUUGGAAUUCCUGGUGUAGCGGUGAAAUGCGCAGAUAUCAGGAGGAACACCGGUGGCGAAGGCGGUUCUCUGGGCCUGUACUGACGCUGAGGAACGAAAGCGUGGGGAGCGAACAGG